GUGAGUAACACGUGGGUGAUCUGCCCUGCACUUUGGGAUAAGCCUGGGAAACUGGGUCUAAUACCGGAUAGGACCAUGGCCUGCAUGGGUUGUGGUGGAAGUAUGGUGUUUUCGAGCACUGUGCGGUGUGGGAUGAGCCCGCGGCCUAUCAGCUUGUUGGUGGGGUGAUGGCCUACCAAGGCUGCGACGGGUAGCCGGCCUGAGAGGGUGUCCGGCCACACUGGGACUGAGAUACGGCCCAG
rnacentral:rRNA from 1 species